AUGCCAUGUUGAAGACAUUUUCUAAGCAUCUCCUUAAAUCUAUUCCAUGCUUCAUACUAUUGCUCAGACUCCAUCUGUCUAAAUUGAGUAAUCUCAGCCCUUAGUUG